UCAAAUGGUCCAUGAACCACACCAAUAACUAUCGCUUUCGCAAGCUUGCCGCUGAUUCCUUACACGAAUAUCCACACCGUGACACCGCCGACCAUGAUGGAAAUCCGGUCUCUGACGGCGCGAAAACUGGGAACUCGGUGGCGUCUCCUGAGCGGAGGACCGAGAAAUCUGAGAAGAAAUUGGGGGUUUCGGAUACUGCGGUUGACAAUUCCGACAAGAUAUCCAAGAUCUUUAUUCGCAUCAGGACUAAGAGCAGCAAGUCCGCCGACGAUUCUGCCGAUGUAGGGGAUCAGACCUUAGUUGUGGACGAUGCAGAGGAGACGAUAACGAAAACAUGGAAUCUGAGG
rnacentral:misc_RNA from 1 species